UACGGGGGGGGCAAGCGUUGUUCGGAAUUACUGGGCGUAAAGGGCGCGUAGGCGGUUGGAUAAGUCAGCUGUGAAAACCACGAGCUUAACUCGUGGCCUGCAGUUGAGACUGUCUGGCUUGAGUGUGGGAGAGGAGAGUGGAAUUCCUGGUGUAGCGGUGAAAUGCGUAGAUAUCGGGAGGAACACCUGUGGCGAAAGCGGCUCACUGGACCACAACUGACGCUGAGGCGCGAAAGCUAGGGGAGCAAACAGG
rnacentral:rRNA from 1 species